UGAGGACGUAGCCGCCAGCGUGAGGACGUAGCCGCCAGCGUGAGGACAUAGCCACCAGCGUGAGGACAUAGCCGCCAGCGUGAGGACAUAGCCGUAGCCGCCAGCGUGAGGACGUAGCCGCCAGCGUGAGGACGUAGCCACCAGCGUGAGGACAUAGCCACCAGCGUGAAGACGUAGCCGCCAGCGUGACAAGUAGCCCGCGUGAAGUCGUCGCCAUGAAAAUGGUUGCUGGCAGCAGCCUCAUCCACCUUGCGUUCACAGCGUCUGGUGAUUGCAUCCUUUUCUCUCGGGCUUGAUUGUAUCUCGUGUUUGCUUAGACAACUAACAUGCUGCACAGGCUUGUAGCCUAGAAGCAGUGGCCUCCACCACAGAGCCUCCGUCCGCAAAGGCGCCACCAUCUAUGCCGGUCUUUGGACAUCCAGGGAGAACAAGUGAAAAGCAGCAGCACUGGCCUGGAGAAGUGAAGACAGAGGAGCAGGGAAGCUGUGCU